GGGAAGGGCGUGUCUGCUCGGCCCGCCCCUCCUGCUCCGGCCAUCACCUUACUCGGCGCCCUGGCCCGAGACCCGGACUGCGGGGAGCCCGCGCGCCACCGGUCCAGGCUAGGAAGCUGGCGUCCCCGGGGCCUGCUCCAGGCCAGGGCCUGGGAACGCUGUGUGGCCAGAGAGGCAGGGGUCCAGUGCUCUGCUGCUGAAGGAACCAGGCCAGAAGCCGGCUGGGAAGGGAAUGCGGUGGAGACAGGCUUGCACACCUGACAUGGCUGGAGUCCCUUGGGAUGGAAGGCUGCCCUGGUGGGUGGAGAGCUCCCUUGGGAGAGGUCUGGGGCUGACCACUGCAUGGUUCUGUGUGGGCCUGGGAGCCACCCGGCAAUGGACCAUUGUGUCCCCACAGCCCACAGGCCAGAUCCUGUCCACCUGGGUGUGGUGCUGACCUGCCUGGAACCUGCCGGGCCUGCUGGUCCAGCUGCACCCUCUGGGAUGCACGGAGCUGCUUGGCCUGGCCUGCAUGGGCUGGCGUUUGGGGCCAUGCUGGACAGCAGGGACUGCUAUGGCAUUCCUUGCCUGCUUCCUCUGUGCCCGUGUGAGAAUGCUCUGGAACCUGGGGAAGGCCCGGAGCAGGGUUGCUGUCCACCAGCUGGAGGGCCAGGUGCCUCACUGCCUGGCAGAUGUCACCGUGACCCUUUCAGGGCAAUGGGCAGCACAGCACGUGCCAGGCACCGCAUGGUGGCGGUUUUAUUUUACACCGCUUUGUCCUUGUAGUUCGGUGGCGCAGUGAGGGGCUGGGUGGGUGCACAGGUGUUUCCAUUCCCGUGUGCUGUAGACGUGUAUGUUCUAGGCUGAUGAAAAUAAACACAUUCCACAGCAUCCGCUGUCCCUGCGGCUGGCGUGCUUUUCCUCCAGGGCUCACCUCCCUGGCCUAGCCCUCCCGAGCUAACCUCUUUUCCUUCCCUGACAGGCAGAGGUGUGGGGGUGUCCCAGUCCCAGCCCUGCCUCUGGCCCUUGGCUCCUGCUGCCAGCAUUCUUACUGCCAGAGAGAGGGACCCCUCCAGGGUGCAGGCAGCAGUAGGCCACUGGGCCAGACACUUGAAGGAACCAGCUGGGGGUGUGCCUAUCCCAGCAGUGGCUCUGGCUGCUUCCUGCCUGACCCCUCUCCAGCUGGAGACCUCAAACUGCCCCUGGAGAGGUUAGAGACCUCAAACUGCCCCUGGAGAGGUUAGAGAGCUGCGGGGCUGGAGACAGGCAGCGGACCCCCUCCCCCCUGCCCUAGUCGUGGGGGUCAGAGUCCCUGGUGGGUUCAAACCCCAGCUCUGCCACCUACAAGCAGGUGACACUGGCAAGUCCCAUAGAAGAUCUAUGUCCUGUAAGUAGGGCUCCUUGUACAGGGUGUCUGGGGCAGAGAUAGUGCAUCUUAGAGGUCCUUGGGCUCCCUGGGGCUGUUGGGGACAGGUGGCUCCUCUGUAACAGUCACCAGACCGAGCUCUCUGGCACCACAGCUGCCGCAUACCCAGUCUCCCUGUCUCUCCAGUGACAGAAGACACCCAAGGUGCCUGGUAUCCAUUCCCUAUGGGCAGAGGGACUCCUGGCCAGGGCCCAGCUUCCCUGUGCCCUGUGACUCAGUUCCCCCGACAUGUGACUGGGGGCAGCUCCCAGGUCCUACACUCUGCUUCCUCUGCCUCUUCAAGCAGGGCCAGGACUCCCAGCCAACAGGGCUGUACCCUGGAGCACCACUGAGUGUCUCUGGAUGACCACUGGCUAUCUGCUGAGGUCCCCUGAGAAUUUCUGGGUUUAAUGUUGCAAGUCCCAUGUUGUGGGAGGCCCUCAGCACUAGGCAGCCCAGAAGGACAUGGUGGACACCACCCUUGUGGCUCAGACACUGACCAGCUUGUCUUUCCCGUGAGAGUUGCUCAGCCGGUAUGCUAAGUUGGUGACUCACCCGGAGGCUAAGAUCAGCGCAGAGGCCCAGGCUCCAGGAGCUGGGAGGAGCUGGGGUCUGUGUUUGCUGAGGGCCACGUCUUACACAGCAGCUUAUGGCAAGGGGAGACAGCUUGCAAGAAGGGUAGUCAUGCAUUUGGGGCUUUGGGAGAUUGCCCCAUGCCUCCUAUCCCUGGGGGGCAGGAGUCCCUCUGGCUCUCCCCAACUGAGUCCUGGGCACAGUAGGGCCUUCUACAUCCAUGUCCAUUCCCAUGGCAAGCAGGACCUGCACAGGCCUGGGCUGGCUGAGGGCUGUGCAGGGCCUGGGGUGUCUUAACUACAGUCUUGCAGUGGCUGGUGGUCAGAGGGAACCGGAAGGACAGCAGAUGGUGCCAGACCGUCUCUGUGUCCUCCAUGACUCAGGGAGGGCUCUGGGCCCGUGACUCUGCCUAUGCAUCUGCUUUGUGUCCUGAAAGCUGCAGGCAGGGAUAGGAGGGGGGGAAGUGGCUGACCAUAAGCCGGCCCGGGGCCUUUCAGUGUGAAGUUAAUGGCUGCACAGUAAAGCACAGGCUUCACUUGAAGGAUUGAGUCCGUACACGUGCACUCACGAGCCACCACUCUACAGUCAGAGCAGUGGUCAGGACCUCUCACUCGCCCAGCAGGGCGGAAUCUGCCCUGCAACUGCCUGCCUUCCCCAGUGCCUGGCUCCAGAGUUCUCUUUGUUGGAAAGUUUUACCUGAGAAUUCCUGUAUCUUUGGUAGAUACAGGACUAUUCAGGUUGUUUAUUUCUUUUUGAGUUUUAGUGGAUUGUGGCUUUCACAAUUUUGCUCACUCAGUCUAAUUUGUCUAAUAAAUUUAUUGGUAUAGA